UACAGAGGGUGCGAGCGUUAAUCGGAAUUACUGGGCGUAAAGGGCGCGUAGGCGGUUAUAUAAGUUAGAUGUGAAAUCCCUGGGCUUAACCUAGGAACUGCAUCUGAUACUGUAUGACUGGAGUGCAGUAGAGGGUAGUGGAAUUUCCGGUGUAGCGGUGAAAUGCGUAGAUAUCGGAAGGAACACCAGUGGCGAAGGCGGCUACCUGGACUGACACUGACGCUGAGGCGCGAGAGCGUGGGGAG
rnacentral:rRNA from 1 species